UCGAAUUUAUCUAUUUAUAAAUGAAUUCUCUCCUCCCAAACCUAAACCCAAUUUAAAGUGACCGAUAACAAAUCCCUAAUUGCAUCUAGACACGUUCGCGUUCUUUUCUGGGCUCCGGCCAUCCACCCUACUCCCCCGACCCAAGCCGCAGGGCAAAACUAGGGUUUCUCUUUCUGCUUCCAAUUCCUGUUCGAUCGAUCAGUCAGACAUGGGAGGAGGCAAUGGCCAGAAGGCCAAGAUGGCACGAGAGAAGAACUUGGAGAAGCAGAAGGCGGCCAAGGGAAGCCAGCUAGAAUCAAACAAAAAAGCCAUGACAAUCCAGGUGAACCAGCUAGGCGAGCGGAGCAGACUCGCAGGUAGAGAGGCUGUUGUACUGCCCUUUUUGAGAGGAACCCAGAAAGGCAGGUCGACCGAGCCCUGUGCCGUUGAGGCGGUUGUGUUACCCCGUUAGGAAGGCGAGUCUUUUGAACUAGGGUCAGUGGGGUUUUGAAGUAGAUCCUAGUUUUUAUCUUUUGAUGUUUUGAGGAUUGUAUAUUUAUACAGUAUAUGGUGGAAUGUAGGUAACUCUGGUAUACUAUGUUAUAUGGUUAAGUGGAUGAAAUUUAUGUUUACUGCUGCCUAAGUUUCCGCUGUGUAUGACAGCAAGAAGCAAAAGGUCGCUGCUCGUUCAAGCACAGAAGCUGAGUAUCGUGCUCUUGUUGAUACAACUUAGGAACUUCUUUGGUUUUGCUCGUUACUUGAAGACAUGGGCGUCACUCAUUCUACUAUAACUAUCAUCAGCUGUGAUAAUCAAAGUGUUAUCCAGAUUGCUCACAAUGAUGUAUUCCAUGAACGCACAAAACACAUUGAGAUUAAUUGUCACUUUGUCGUCA